GGAAUCUUGGACAAUGGGGGCAACCCUGAUCCAGCCAUGCCGCGUGAGCGAUGAAGGCCCUAGGGUUGUAAAGCUCUUUCACCCGUGAAGAUAAUGACGGUACCCGCAGAAGACGUCCCGGCUAACUCCGUGCCAGCAGCCGCGGUAAUACGGAGGGGACUAGCGUUGAUCGGAAUUACUGGGCGUACAGCGCACGUAGGCGGAUUCGUAAGUCAGGGGUGAAAUCCCGAGGCUCAACCUCGGAACUGCCUUUGAUACUGCGAAUCUCGAGUCCGGAAGAGGUGAGUGGAAUUCCUAGUGUAGAGGUGAAAUUCGUAGAUAUUAGGAAGAACACCAGUGGCGAAGGCGGCUCACUGGUCCGGUACUGACGCUGAGGUGCGAAAGCGUGGGGAGCAAAC
rnacentral:rRNA from 1 species